AUGCACAGCAUAGCCAAGAUCCUCUGCAAGUUGCUUGCUAAUAGGCUGGCCCCGGAGCUUGACUCCCUCGUCUCUCCUUCUCAGAGCGCCUUCAUAAAAAAGAGAUGUAUUCAGGACAAUUUCCUUUACGUGCACAAUGUCAUUAGAGAGGAUCACACCAAGAAGAAGGCAUUAGUCUUCCUCAAGCUUGACAUUGCCAAAGCGUUUGAUUCCAUUGGUUGGGGAUUCUUGUUAGAGACCCUGUCUGCUUUUGGUUUCGGUCAGCGCUGGAGAAAUAUUGUGUCUGCCAUUCUGAGCUCCGCUUCCUCAAGAAUUUUGUUAAAUGGCACCCCCGGCACGCCCUUCAGGCAUAUGCGCGGCCUUCGCCAGGGAGACCCCUGUCUCCAAUGCUGUUCAUUCUCGUCAUGGAGCCGCUUCGGAGACUGUUGGAUCUUGGGACAGAACGCGGGGUUCUAUCUCAGUUGGGACCUAAGGCAGCCAUAUUUCGGACAAGUAUGUAUGCGGAUGAUGCGGCCCUGUUUUUAA
rnacentral:rRNA from 1 species